UGGGGAAUUUUGGACAAUGGGCGAAAGCCUGAUCCAGCAAUGCCGCGUGUGUGAAGAAGGCCUUCGGGUUGUAAAGCACUUUUGUCCGGAAAGAAAUCCUUGGCUCUAAUACAGUCGGGGGAUGACGGUACCGGAAGAAUAAGCACCGGCUAACUACGUGCCAGCAGCCGCGGUAAUACGUAGGGUGCAAGCGUUAAUCGGAAUUACUGGGCGUAAAGCGUGCGCAGGCGGUUUGCUAAGACCGAUGUGAAAUCCCCGGGCUCAACCUGGGAACUGCAUUGGUGACUGGCAGGCUAGAGUAUGGCAGAGGGGGGUAGAAUUCCACGUGUAGCAGUGAAAUGCGUAGAGAUGUGAAGGAAUACCGAUGGCGAAGGCAGCCCCCUGGGCCAAUACUGACGCUCAUGCACGAAAGCGUGGGGAGCAAAACAGGAUUAGAUACCCUGGUAGUCCACGCCCUAAACGAUGUCAACUAGUUGUUGGGGAUUCAUUUCCUUAGUAACGUAGCUAACGCGUGAAGUUGACCGCCUGGGGAGUACGGUCGCAAGAUUAAAACUUAAAGGAAUUGACGGGGUCAUAGCUGUUUCCU
rnacentral:rRNA from 1 species